AUUGAACGCUGGCGGCAGGCUUAACACAUGCAAGUCGAGCGAGCGGCGGACGGGUGAGUAAUGUCUGGGAAACUGCCUGAUGGAGGGGGAUAACUACUGGAAACGGUAGCUAAUACCGCAUACCAUCAGAUGUGCCCAGCUGGGAUUAGCUAGUAGGUGGGGUAAUGGCUCACCUAGGCGACGAUCCCUAGCUGGUCCGAGAGGAUGACCAGCAACACUGGAACUGAGACACGGUCCAGACUCCUACGGGAGGAAGCAGUGGGGAAUAUUGGACAAUGGGCGAAAGCCUGAUACAGAAAUGCGGCGUGGGUGAAGAAGGCCUUCGGGUGGUAAAGCACUUUCAGCGAGGAGGCGUUACCCGCAGAAGAAGCACCGGCUAACUCCGUGCCAGCAGCCGCGGUAAUUC
rnacentral:rRNA from 1 species